GGAGUCCGGCAGGCUGAGAGCAGAGCCUGAGUGCGCCGCCGGUUCAGCCGGGCAGGGUCGCCUCGCGCCAGGAUGCUGCGCCCCGCCGCCCUGUCCAGCCAGCAACCCUGGCGCGACCCCGGGAAGAAGCACAGGUUCUUUCGUCCAGUCGCCGCUGGAGGACCGAAAGUUUUGCUCGCUGCAAGUCUCUUCCUCCCAGAGUCCCAGUCACCCACCAUGCGACGUCCCAGAAGGAUCCCGGAGGCUUAGUGGGAACGAAAUCGGCUGUUUUGCACCCCUCCAUCCUUAUCCCUCAGGGUAGAGCAGGGACUCUAGAGAGUACACCUCCCAGCUACCAUCCACUUCACCCUGUCUCCUCUCUCGGUGAGCCUUGGAAUCCGGUCUCUUCGCAGAUGCCUUCAGGAGUCAGAAGCAAAGGGGAAAUGGACAUAACUCCGAGAAACCGAGUGAACGUCCAGCCUCAGCAACAGCUUUGCCACCAUGAGCUUCAUUGAUCACAUCCUACCACAACUAGGAGACCUAAACCUUGCUCACUGACAGCAUUUGAAGAUGCAAAUACUGCUAUGGAUUGGAAGGUGCCUGAGGAAUGAAAGGGGACAUAGCCAUUAUGACCCACCUCGUGAGAUUUUAGGGAAGAAAGACCAUAGUGAUUGCAUCUAUUAAGAAGCCCUUACUGACCUGCAUGGUGAGGCUCGUGUGAAAUUUCAGCAUGCGGGAGAUUGAGACAGAAGGAUCACAAGUUCAAGGCCACCCUAGGCUAUGUAUCAAGAACUUUUUUUGAACAAAGAAAAAAGAAACGGCAGUACAUAAUUUCUCCUAAUUGGUCUGACUUCAAAGGGCUGGAGAUGAGGCUGUCAGCUGAGAGCUCCUGCUUGCCGAAGACCAUGGGCUGGAAUCCCUGUACUGCAUGGACCAGAUGUGGUGGCACAUGAAGGUCAAGGCUAUCCUCAACCACACAUGAGUUCAAGGUCAGCCUGGGAUACAUGCAAUCCUGUCUCAAAACAAAGAACAGUUCUUUCAAGAGGAAAUCUUAACAUUAAGGCUGUGCUGAUCCAAGGUGAGAAAGAUGAGUUUUUCAAGACUCCGUAACACUCAGUUACAACCACAUUAUAGAGACACUGAAGUUUCUCCUUUUGGUGGUCCCAGCACAAUCUCCAGCCCUGGGGAUUCAAAGACAGAGAGAAGGAAACAGUCACUCAGAUUAGGCAACCAAGUGUCUCAGAUACCAGGGGCCCGAGCUGGUCAAACCAAGAGCAAAAAUAACAGCUUCUCCUUGCACACCCAGAAGUAUUCUAGGUUAGAGAGUAAGUUCUCAGCCAACCCCAGUUCUGAGCUAUGUCCUCCAACUAUUGUGUUUGUGCUGCGAUUCCUUACUGGCUAAAAAAGGAUAUCCUGGCUAAAGAAUAAUUGCCAGAAUCACACAGCACCUGUUUGAAGUAGUCAGAUUUUCCCUCUUGCAUAGAGAACAAUUGUUAUCCAAAUUUUUUUUCAUAGGAAGAAAAAUCCUAAAUGAGAACAAUCUGCCUAAAAUAAAUGUUAGAAUUUUGAUAUGUUGGUAGCCUAUUGCUAUCCACACAUUAUCUCUCUAUCAUCUACCUGUCAAUCAUCUUUAUAGGCAUUUAGAUCCCUCCCCAUUCUGCAAACUAAAAUACUUAACUUAUUAGAAAAUCCAUAGCUACAUAUAUGAAUAUGAACAUACUAUAUAUUUUUAUAUACUUAUAUACAUAUACCAUCAUAGUUAAUAUAGAGUGGUGGUUUGAAUAUGCUUGGCCAAUGGGAAGUGACACUAUUAGGAGGUGUGGUAUUAUUGGAGAAGGUGUGGCCUUGUUAGAGGAAGUGUGUGUGUGGGGGGGUGUUGAGACUCUUAUUCUCAGGCUCUGCCCAAUAUGAAAGAGAGUCUUCUGGCUGCCUUCAAAUCAAGAUGUAGAACCCUCGACUCUUCUGGGACCAUGUUUGCCUACACACUGCCAUAUUUCCUGCCAUGAUGAUAAUGGAUUGAACCUCUGAAACUGUAAGCCAGCCACAGUGAAAUGUUUUUUUUUAUAAGAGUUACAUUGGUCAGAGUGUUUCUUCCCAGCCACAAAACCCUAAGGCACGUAGGCCAAGAUAAUCACUUUUUAGAUUGUCACAGCAAACACAGUAUUCAAGUGAAUGAUAGAGUAUUGAACUAUAACAUCUUUACUCCCCAAUUAUGAGCAUUUAAGUUUGAAUUUUGAAAUGUGUUACUACAGAUUAAUACUGUCUCAAAAAGAAAAUAAAUAAAUUGAGUAACCAGAAAUACUAAAAA
rnacentral:lncRNA from 1 species